ACCUGGCCGGGGCCAGAGCAGGCGGCCCCGGCAUCCAGAAAGACAUACACCGUGCCACGGAAUGCGUGCGCACAUAUGGGCGUU
rnacentral:sRNA from 1 species